rnacentral:piRNA from 1 species
UGGGAUUACACAACUCGUGAGCCUCCAUGCC